rnacentral:lncRNA from 1 species
GUAGAGCACUCACCUAGCACGUGCAAGGCCCUGGGUUUGAUCCUCAGCACCACAUAAAAAUAAAUAAAAUAAAGGUAUUAGGCUGGGGUUGUGGCUCAGUGGUAGCACUCUUUCCUAGCAUGUGUGACAUACUGGGUUCAAUUCUCAGCACCACAUACAAAUAAAUAAAAUAAAGGUCCAUCAACAACUAAAAAAUAUUUUUAAAAAUAAUUUUAAAAUAAUAAAGGUAUUGUGUCCAACUAAAAAAUAUAUUUUUUUAACAUCAGCCACGGGGUAAGCACCGAGGCAUCUACCAAGCCUCAAAGCCCCCAUUAAAGACCGCAUUCUUUUUUUCCCUUUGGACAAAGCAAAUAGUAAGUGGCAGGCUGGGCCAGGCACUGGGAACAGGGGGGAACUGUGGUCACAGAGUUCCACAUCCCACUACACUGUUGGCCUUCAUCUCUCCUCAGCCUUCCACAAACACCUCCUUCCAACACUACCUCUUGCCUGUCUGUCCACCUGUUGAGUCCUGAAGGGUGCUCUGCCUGGAGACUGAGGAGAGAUGGGUGAGGUGACAUUUAACGUAUCCUGUGUCUGCCCUGGGUUGAUGCCCAAUAGAGUCCUUCAUGCUAGCCCAGUUAUAUCAGGGGCUCAUCACCCAAAUCACAUGUGAGUUCCUGCAUGUCUGUUUUGUCCUAAGACUCUUCACCUUGACAUUCGCCAAAGGCCCAGUUUAGGAAAGAGGGCUUGGCAGCCAAGUGUGAUGGGGACAGCAAUAAGAAAGGGCAAGAACAGAACUGAAGCUGGUAUGUACAUCUUUCUGAGAAGGCCACAACCAUCAAUUCCCAGUGAGGAUUGUCAAGCAGGAGGUAGAGGGCGGGGAAGAAAAGUCUUAGAAUAAAAAAUAAAAAGGGUUGAGGAUAUAGCUCAGUGGUAGAGCAUAUAAGCCUUGGGCUCAAUCCCAGCAUUAAAAAUAAAUAUAUAAAUAAGCUAAUUAAUUAAUCUAGAAAUUGAGUUCCUAAUGAUAUUUCCAGUUUGAAUUUAACGUCAUAGGGUUUUUAUUUUACCUAACUGGUUCUGUAUUUGGUUCCUAAUAGUAUUAGUAUAUUUAUUUAACUUAUGACAUUUAUUCUAUGGUUUCAAAAAAUAAUACCAAUGAUAUAUUAAAUUUUGAGUGAAGUUUAAGGUAUUUUUUGUUUUGAGGUAUAGCUAAGUUUACUAUAAGAGAAGUAAAUUAACACCCUAAAUGGAGAGAGUAGGUCAUGAAGAGGACAGUGACAACAUUCCAAAAUUCCCCUUUGUUCCCUAGUUUUUAUCUGGAUCUUAGAGAAGUUUCUAGAGAGUCCUACCAAAGUACAACUUCUCAACUUUUGACUGACCAUAGAAUUGCCUCAGAUAUUUAAGUUCCUAUUGCACAUGAUUUUACUCACAGAUACUUGAGUAAAACCUAAGGGGGUCAGUUUUGGGGGUUUUUGUUUGUUUGUUUGUUUUUUGUUUCUGUACUGGGGAUUGAACCCAAGAGCACUUAACCACUGAGUCACAUCCCCAGACUUUUUAUAUUCUAUUUGCUGAGGCUGGCUUUAAACUAACAAUCUUCCUGUCUCAGUCUCCCCAGGCUCUGGGAUUACAGGUGUAUUCCACUUCAUCUGGCUAGAUCUUUUAAUUCUAGAGACUGGGAAAUCUGAGAUCAAGGUGUCUACGUAUCAGGUGUCUGGUGACAGUCCUUGUUUGAAGGUGCCUGUCUUGUUACAUUAUCACAUGGCAGACAGCAAAGCAAUAAUUUUUUUAUAGUUCUUUUUAUCCUUUAAUAUCCUGUAAAGGAUGCCCUGUAAGGGAACUUGAAAUAGUCCUUUUUCUGGUGGUUAUUUUAUCAAUUUGAUACACAGUUAGAUUCUAUUGAUUUGUUUUCAGAUUUAUCUGGUUUUCAUUAAUUUUGGUUUUUGAUAAUAUAUAGUAUGAGUCACAUGAUGAUACAUUUGCUGUUGAGAAUCAGUUAUAGAACAUAGC